GCCUAAUACAUGCAAGUCGAACGAGUUCUGAUUAUUGAAAGGUGCUUGCAUCUUGAUUUAGCUAAUACAUGCAAGUCGAACGAGUUCUGAUUAUUGAAAGGUGCUUGCAUCUUGAUUUAAUUUUGAACGAGUGGCGGACGGGUGAGUAACACGUGGGUAACCUGCCCUUAAGUGGGGGAAUUUUGAACGAGUGGCGGACGGGUGAGUAACACGUGGGUAACCUGCCCUUAAGUGGGGGAUAACAUUUGGAAACAGAUGCUAAUACCGCAUAAAUCCAAGAACCGCAUGGUUCUUGGCUGUAACAUUUGGAAACAGAUGCUAAUACCGCAUAAAUCCAAGAACCGCAUGGUUCUUGGCUGAAAGAUGGCGUAAGCUAUCGCUUUUGGAUGGACCCGCGGCGUAUUAGCUAGUUGGUGAGGAAAGAUGGCGUAAGCUAUCGCUUUUGGAUGGACCCGCGGCGUAUUAGCUAGUUGGUGAGGUAACGGCUCACCAAGGCAAUGAUACGUAGCCGAACUGAGAGGUUGAUCGGCCACAUUGGGUAACGGCUCACCAAGGCAAUGAUACGUAGCCGAACUGAGAGGUUGAUCGGCCACAUUGGGACUGAGACACGGCCCAAACUCCUACGGGAGGCAGCAGUAGGGAAUCUUCCACAAUGGACGACUGAGACACGGCCCAAACUCCUACGGGAGGCAGCAGUAGGGAAUCUUCCACAAUGGACGCAAGUCUGAUGGAGCAACGCCGCGUGAGUGAAGAAGGCUUUCGGGUCGUAAAACUCUGUUCAAGUCUGAUGGAGCAACGCCGCGUGAGUGAAGAAGGCUUUCGGGUCGUAAAACUCUGUUGUUGGAGAAGAAUGGUCGGCAGAGUAACUGUUGUCGGCGUGACGGUAUCCAACCAGAAAGGUUGGAGAAGAAUGGUCGGCAGAGUAACUGUUGUCGGCGUGACGGUAUCCAACCAGAAAGCCACGGCUAACUACGUGCCAGCAGCCGCGGUAAUACGUAGGUGGCAAGCGUUAUCCGGAUCCACGGCUAACUACGUGCCAGCAGCCGCGGUAAUACGUAGGUGGCAAGCGUUAUCCGGAUUUAUUGGGCGUAAAGCGAGCGCAGGCGGUUUUUUAAGUCUGAUGUGAAAGCCCUCGGCUUUUAUUGGGCGUAAAGCGAGCGCAGGCGGUUUUUUAAGUCUGAUGUGAAAGCCCUCGGCUUAACCGAGGAAGUGCAUCGGAAACUGGGAAACUUGAGUGCAGAAGAGGACAGUGGAACUCCAACCGAGGAAGUGCAUCGGAAACUGGGAAACUUGAGUGCAGAAGAGGACAGUGGAACUCCAUGUGUAGCGGUGAAAUGCGUAGAUAUAUGGAAGAACACCAGUGGCGAAGGCGGCUGUCUAUGUGUAGCGGUGAAAUGCGUAGAUAUAUGGAAGAACACCAGUGGCGAAGGCGGCUGUCUGGUCUGUAACUGACGCUGAGGCUCGAAAGCAUGGGUAGCGAACAGGAUUAGAUACCCUGGGGUCUGUAACUGACGCUGAGGCUCGAAAGCAUGGGUAGCGAACAGGAUUAGAUACCCUGGUAGUCCAUGCCGUAAACGAUGAAUGCUAGGUGUUGGAGGGUUUCCGCCCUUCAGUGCCGCUAGUCCAUGCCGUAAACGAUGAAUGCUAGGUGUUGGAGGGUUUCCGCCCUUCAGUGCCGCAGCUAACGCAUUAAGCAUUCCGCCUGGGGAGUACGACCGCAAGGUUGAAACUCAAAGGAAAGCUAACGCAUUAAGCAUUCCGCCUGGGGAGUACGACCGCAAGGUUGAAACUCAAAGGAAUUGACGGGGGCCCGCACAAGCGGUGGAGCAUGUGGUUUAAUUCGAAGCAACGCGAAGAACUUGACGGGGGCCCGCACAAGCGGUGGAGCAUGUGGUUAAUCGAAGCAACGCGAAGAAC
rnacentral:rRNA from 1 species